CUGGAGUUUAGACGUGUGCCCUUCCUAUCUCCCCGAGUGCCUGGCGCCUCUACUGGGACGGGAUCUGCUUUGUCGCCUAGGCGCCACCUUGCAGUUUACUCAAGACGAAAUAACCCUUACCCUGCCCCCCGAGAAUGCAUGGAUUAUGACCCUUACAAUUGAGCCCUCAGCUACGCAAGCCCCAGAAUAGAGCCUGUGGGAAGACCGGGUGUACCCUCUAGUGUGGGCAGCGGGGGUCGCA